rnacentral:rRNA from 1 species
AUUGAACGCUGGCGGCAGGCUUAACACAUGCAAGUCGAGCGGAGAGAGGUAGCUUGCUACUGAUCUUAGCGGCGGACGGGUGAGUAAUGCUUAGGAAUCUGCCUAUUAGUGGGGGACAACAUUUCGAAAGGACUGCUAAUACCGCAUACGUCCUACGGGAGAAAGCAGGGGAUCUUCGGACCUUGCGCUAAUAGAUGAGCCUAAGUCGGAUUAGCUAGUUGGUGGGGUAAAGGCCUACCAAGGCGACGAUCUGUAGCGGGUCUGAGAGGAUGAUCCGCCACACUGGGACUGAGACACGGCCCAGACUCCUACGGGAGGCAGCAGUGGGGAAUAUUGGACAAUGGGCGGAAGCCUGAUCCAGCCAUGCCGCGUGUGUGAAGAAGGCCUUAUGGUUGUAAAGCACUUUAAGCGAGGAGGAGGCUACUUUAGUUAAUACCUAGAGAUAGUGGACGUUACUCGCAGAAUAAGCACCGGCUAACUCUGUGCCAGCAGCCGCGGUAA